UCACUGGCUCACUGCUGAUCACUAUUUGGAAGGUAUCAUAUCCAUAGGAUACCAUAAGGACUCUGUAUAGAUUUCUGCAUUUUUCACCUGUAUUGUGACUUCUGAGGUCCUCCAUGUGUGCAUGAAGUUGCCGAUUCCUCUUUUUUUCAUACGAAUGCUUCCCUUUUGAGCUCUUCGUAAUCUGAGUUACCAGAUUCACGAGGCUGACUUUAUGCCCUUAUUUCACGCCUCAUUGAUGUUUGGAAGCCCACGUAUGAACCUAUUCGGCCUAUGAUCUAGGCCUAUCACUCUUUUGGAUAGACAUUAUUAUCUAAGACGCACCCCCGAUGAAGUCUAGUUCCUAGACGAAACGCGUUGGGUUACUGUAUUUCUUGUUGAUGUUAUCUCCGAAUAUUUAAUGAGGAAGAAUAAGGAUACAACAGAAAGGUUGCCUUCUUUCCUCCAUAUCCCAUUGAUGGAUUUCUGUAGGAGAAACUACAUCAUAAUGUACAUGUAAUAAUGAUGGAUAUACUUCAUGUUUCUGUAUAAUUGUUUUAAUAAAUUUUUAUGAAAAGUA